AACCAUUCUCACCUGCGGCUAGACCUGCGGAGGGAUCAUUACCUAGAGUUGUAGGCUUUGCCUGCUAUCUCUUACCCAUGUCUUUUGAGUACCUUACGUUUCCUCGGUGGGUUCGCCCGCCGGUUGGACAAAACUUAAACCCUUUGUAGUUGCAAUCAGCGUCUGAAAAAACUUAAUAGUUACAACUUUCAACAAUGGAUCU
rnacentral:misc_RNA from 1 species